rnacentral:lncRNA from 12 species
AAGAAGUUGAGCAAUUUACCUGAGGAUCCUCUGUUUUCAAAACACACACCUGCCUACCUACUUAAUCCUGAUAAUCAGAAUUAAGCAUAUCAGUGCAAUAAAUAUAUCUUCUUGCAAUUUUAAUGGCAUAGAGAUCUAAAGUAGUAAUGGUGACGGAGAAGGCUACCUUAAAGAUGAAGAAAAAUGAUGAGAAGAGAACACAAGAAAAAGGACUCAGACUGGACAAGAUGGAAAGCAUUAUAGAUCUUACAACUACGUUGGCAUCUGCCAUCUGUAAACAGUAUGAUCAGCAUUAGGUG